rnacentral:rRNA from 1 species
GACGUGCUAAUCUGCGAUAAGCGUCGGUGAGGUGAUAUGAACCGUUAUAACCGGCGAUUUCCGAAUGGGGAAACCCAGUGUGUUUCGACACACUAUCAUUAACUGAAUCCAUAGGUUAAUGAGGCGAACCGGGGGAACUGAAACAUCUAAGUACCCCGAGGAAAAGAAAUCAACCGAGAUUCCCCCAGUAGCGGCGAGCGAACGGGGAGGAGCCCAGAGCCUGAAUCAGUGUGUGUGUUAGUGGAAGCGUCUGGAAAGGCGCGCGAUACAGGGUGACAGCCCCGUACACAAAAAUGCACAUAUUGUGAGCUCGAUGAGUAGGGCGGGACACGUGGUAUCCUGUCUGAAUAUGGGGGGACCAUCCUCCAAGGCUAAAUACUCCUGACUGACCGAUAGUGAACCAGUACCGUGAGGGAAAGGCGAAAAGAACCCCGGCGAGGGGAGUGAAAAAGAACCUGAAACCGUGUACGUACAAGCAGUGGGAGCCUCUUAAUGGGGUGACUGCGUACCUUUUGUAUAAUGGGUCAGCGACUUAUAUUCUGUAGCAAGGUUAACCGAAUAGGGGAGCCGAAGGGAAACCGAGUCUUAACUGGGCGUUAAGUUGCAGGGUAUAGACCCGAAACCCGGUGAUCUAGCCAUGGGCAGGUUGAAGGUUGGGUAACACUAACUGGAGGACCGAACCGACUAAUGUUGAAAAAUUAGCGGAUGACUUGUGGCUGGGGGUGAAAGGCCAAUCAAACCGGGAGAUAGCUGGUUCUCCCCGAAAGCUAUUUAGGUAGCGCCUCGUGAAUUCAUCUCCGGGGGUAGAGCACUGUUUCGGCAAGGGGGUCAUCCCGACUUACCAACCCGAUGCAAACUGCGAAUACCGGAGAAUGUUAUCACGGGAGACACACGGCGGGUGCUAACGUCCGUCGUGAAGAGGGAAACAACCCAGACCGCCAGCUAAGGUCCCAAAGUCAUGGUUAAGUGGGAAACGAUGUGGGAAGGCCCAGACAGCCAGGAUGUUGGCUUAGAAGCAGCCAUCAUUUAAAGAAAGCGUAAUAGCUCACUGGUCGAGUCGGCCUGCGCG